GACGAACGCUGGCGGCGUGCUUAACACAUGCAAGUCGAACGAUGAAGCCGGAGCUUGCUCCGGUGGAUUAGUGGCGAACGGGUGAGUAACACGUGAGCAAUCUGCCCUUGACUCUGGGAUAACUGCGGGACACUGUAGCUAAUACCGGAUACGACACCUUGGGGCAUCCCAGGGUGUGGAAAGAAUUUCGGUCAAGGAUGAGCUCGCGGCCUAUCAGCUAGUUGGUGAGGUAAUGGCUCACCAAGGCGACGACGGGUAGCCGGCCUGAGAGGGUGACCGGCCACACUGGAACUGAGACACGGUCCAGACUCCUACGGGAGGCAGCAGUGGGGAAUAUUGCACAAUGGGCGAAAGCCUGAUGCAGCAACGCCGCGUGAGGGAUGAAGGCCUUCGGGUUGUAAACCUCUUUUAGCAGGGAAGAAGCGAAAGUGGCGGUACCUGCAGAAAAAGCACCGGCUAACUACGUGCCAGCCGCCGCGGUAA
rnacentral:rRNA from 1 species